CUAACUCAAAUUUGUAUGGGGUUGGAGCGUGUGCCUACGCGUGCCUCUAGGGGCGCCGUUCCAACUACUUACAAAUUUGAGUUA
rfam:Bombyx mori DNA, contig: Bm_scaf21_contig14706, strain: p50T/Dazao, build 2, whole genome shotgun sequence.